rnacentral:tRNA from 1 species
GGCUGGAUGGCCGUGUGGUUAAGGCACUGGACUGGAACUUGGGAUAUUUGGGUUCAAGUCUCAGCUCUGCCA